ensembl:lncRNA
AAAAAAAUUCACCCUUGAAGGGUUAGUGAGGUAAAUGACAAUAACCUUGUGCAGCUGGAGACCUUGGAUGGAAAGCCAUUGAAGACCAGGAAACCCUAUGCUUCAGUGAAGCCUGUGCGGAGAAGAUCCCAGGCUGCCUGGCCCACCAAGGAACUUUGUCCAAUCUAUCUGAGCCAGCAGAUUCAGAUCAUCCUGACCUGCUCAGCUCAGAGUUGGAUGAGGACCCACUAGAGGGAAAUAUUUCAGACUUGUCCAGCUUCACUGAGCAAAAGGGUGGAGGACUUCAGGCUCAGUACCCUAACAUCAUGGGGCUCUACGCCACCACCUCCCUAGCCUCACUUUGACCAAGCCAGCACAAGGGUUUGUACAGAUACCUAAUGUUGCUGAAAAUCACUGGGUUACGGUAAGUGACAUUGGCUGCCGGGGAGGUUCAGCAAACAUUUUUGACUCCCUAGGACACACCAGGACCGAGGUCUUCAUUGAACAGGC